ensembl:lncRNA
AUGUCUUUUAAUUCUUUUGUCAUUUAUAGAUUGUUAUUUUUGUACUCUGAUGCUGUUACAAAAAAGUGCUGCGUCAUCAAGGAGAUUCAUAGAAAGGCUAUGGAAGCAGCUACAAGCUGUUUCACCUCAAGAGGAAGGCUGUGGAGCCCAACGGCGCGGCGUGUGGAGUGGGCAAUGGCUCCCCCUCGCGGUGCGCGCGCAGCCUGCAGGGCCAGCCGCGGGAGCAGGCCUGUGGAAAAGGAUUCAGAGAACACGGUCUCGCGUGACUUCCUUCUGAGAUAUUCAGUUCCUGGUAAUCAGAAACUUACAACUCAGCAGACCUCUUGGCAGACCUACAGGGUAUAA